rnacentral:rRNA from 1 species
UACAGAGGGUGCGAGCGUUGUUCGGAAUUACUGGGCGUAAAGCGUGCGCAGGCGGUUGUGCAAGACAGAUGUGAAAUCCCCGGGCUUAACCUGGGAAUGGCAUUUGUGACUGCACGGCUAGAGUGUGUCAGGGGGAGGGUAGAAUUCCACGUGUAGCAGUGAAAUGCGUAGAUAUGUGGAGGAAUACCGAUGGCGAAGGCAGCCCCCUGGGAUAACACUGACGCUCAUGCACGAAAGCGUGGGGAGCAAACAGG